rnacentral:rRNA from 1 species
GUACCGCCUGCUCAAUGCAUUUUGUAAAUUGCCGCGGUAUUUUGACCGUGCAAAGGUAGCAUAAUCAUUUGUCUCUUAAUUAGAGGCUGGUAUGAAUGGCGAGACGAGAAAGUUACUGUCUCUAGUGUAGUAAUUGAAUUUCAUUUUUAAGUGAAAAAGCUUAAAUUUUUUUGAAGGACGAUCAGACCCUAUAGAGCUUUAAUGUUAUCGUAAAUAUAAUUAACGGUAAGUUAUUUACUUACGUACACAUUUUUGUUGGGGCGACAAAGAGUUUUGAGUAACACUCUUUUAAGUAAACACAUAUUAGUGGAUAAUUGACCCCUUAGGAGGGGUUACAAGACUAAGUUACCUUAGGGAUAACAGCGUAAUUUUUUUGGAGAGUUCUUAUCGAUAAAAGAGUUUGCGACCUCGAUGUUGGAUUAAGAGAUUAGCAGGGUGCAGAAGCUUUGCAGGAAAGUCUGUUCGACUUUUAAAUUCUUACA